UACGGAGGGUGCAAGCGUUAUCCGGAUUUACUGGGGUUAAAGGGUGCGUAGGUGGGUCUGUAAGUCAGUGGUGAAAUCUCCGGGCUUAACCCGGAAACUGCCAUUGAUACUAUAGAUCUUGAAUAUCCUGGAGGUGAGCGGAAUAUGUCAUGUAGCGGUGAAAUGCUUAGAUAUGACAUAGAACACCAAUUGCGAAGGCAGCUCACUACGGGAUCAUUGACACUGAGGCACGAAAGCGUGGGGAUCAAACAGG
rnacentral:rRNA from 1 species